UUAUAGCUUGCUAUGAUAGAAAUUAGUGGCAGACGGGUGAGUAAUGCAUAGGAAUCUACCUAGUAGUAUGGGAUAGCCACUAGAAAUGGUGGGUAAUACUGUAUAAUCCCUGCGGGGGAAAGAUUUAUCGCUAUUAGAUGAGCCUAUGUUAGAUUAGCUAGUUGGUAGGGUAAAGGCCUACCAAGGCAGUGAUCUAUAGCUGGUCUGAGAGGAUGAUCAGCCACACUGGAACUGAGAUACGGUCCAGACUCCUACGGGAGGCAGCAGUGGGGAAUAUUGGACAAUGGGCGCAAGCCUGAUCCAGCUAUGCCGCGUGAGUGAGGAAGGCCUUAGGGUUGUAAAACUCUUUCAGUGGGGAAGAUAAUGACGGUACCCACAGAAGAAGUCCCGGCAAACUCCGUGCCAGCAGCCGCGGUAAUACGGAGGGGGCAAGCGUUGUUCGGAAUUAUUGGGCGUAAAGGGCAUGUAGGCGGUUCGGUAAGUUAAAGGUGAAAUGCCAGGGCUUAACCCUGGAGCUGCUUA
rnacentral:rRNA from 1 species